AGUUCUGUAGUGAAAUUCACAUCGGAUUGCAAAUCCGGAAAAGUAGUACAAGAAAUACCAGGACUU
rnacentral:tRNA from 1 species